AUUGAACGCUGGCGGCAUGCUUUACACAUGCAAGUCGAACGGCAGCGCGGGCUUCGGCCUGUCGGCGAUUGGCGAACGGGUGAGUAAUGCAUCGGAACGUGCCCAGCUGUGGGGGAUAGCCCGGCUAAAGCCGGAUUAAUACCGCAUACGACCUGAGGGUGAAAGCGGGGGUCCGAAAGGCCUCGCGCUAUUGGAGCGGCCGAUGUCGGAUUAGCUAGUUGGUGGGGUAAAGGCUUACCAAGGCGACGAUCCGUAGCUGGUCUGAGAGGCCGACCGGCCACACUGGGACUGAGACACGGCCCAGACUCCUACGGGAGGCAGCAGUGGGGAAUUUUGGACAAUGGGGGCAACCCUGAUCCAGCCAUGCCGCGUGAGGGAAGAAGGCCUUCGGGUUGUAAAACGCUUUUGUUCGGGAAGAAAAACUGUGGGAUAAUACCCCGGGGGGAUGACGGUACCGGAAGAAUAAGCACCGGCUAACUACGUG
rnacentral:rRNA from 1 species